UUCUUUCCUCAUCUUGCCGUCUUUCCUCACCGUUGUCCACUUUCCUCAUCUUACUAUCUUCCUCGCCGUCGUCUUCUCAAAACCUCGGUAUGAUCUUUGUUCACUUCAAAGCUAAAUUAAUUAAUUGAUUAGUUAAUUUGUUAACAAAGAGCAAAGGAUGCUAGUUUGUUAGGGUUACUUAUUAGUAGUUGAUGAUUUAGGUGUGUGCUAGUUUGGAAAUUGUGUAUUGGUUUUGUUAUAUUGUUAAUUUCAUUAAUGAGAUAUCUAAAUGGUCAUUUGAAAUCUUGUUCUGAUUAUUAGUUACUAGAGAUCUCUAUAAACACAGCUCUGGGGAUUAGUGCUUUUCCUACGAAAGACAACAUUCGAUGUUUAGUGUAAUGAUUCUUGCCUCGUCUCAAUUUCCUUAUAAAGUUAAUUAGCUAGGUAAUACUAGUCAUUGCUAUGUUUAGGAUUUUUUUCCUUUACAUUUUUCAUGCUUUAUAUGGAAUUGUGGUGUUCAUUUACUGUAAAGUAUAAAUUGUGAUUUUGGUUUCAGGGAUUUGUUUCCUCUUUGUUUACAAAAUUUUUUUGUCAGUAGCAGUAGCAUAUAUAAUGUAGAUUUAAGAGAUGAAUAAUUAUCUAGGGCUAUUUGUUUUCUGGUUUCUUAAGAUUGAUAGUUGUAAGUGCAAUAUAGGAUGGUCGCUUACGAGAGUAGAUUACUUUUCAAAUGCCAUAACUUAGGUUACAAAUGUCCAUUUGGGCCAUAUAAUAUACUGUUUUGAAGUAUAUGAUGAGAUGAACCAAACUUAGAACCAUUUGCACCAUUUUACUCUAUAGUCGAGCUGAAAAUUUCACUUCUUUCCUGGUUAUUUUUCAGUUUUAAGAUAUUUUCCUAUUUUUUCUGUUCCUUUUAGAAUUUAUCUUUUUUUUUCUACUCAUCGAAUUUUGGUGUUGUUUCUUUUUUCUUUUGUUUAGAUUAGGAGAAUUUUAUUAUCAUAUAAUUUUUUUUUAUAUUUGCAUGUAUUAGUAAAUUCACUAUGUUUAGGGUUAGUUUUGUAUUGAAAUUUGACGUUAUUAGGAACUAAUGAAGUACUAGUACUGAUUUUACAACAUAUGUAUGUAUAUUAACUAAUAUUUUUUUUUCAUAAUCAGAACCUAAUUAGAAUAUAAUUUAGCUUAUGGUGUAAAAUUUUAUUUUGUUUUGUUAAAAACAAGUGUUUUUCCCUAUGUAAUAGUUUAUCUUGUGUUUUUUGUUUGAACUGUUUGCUAUCAUCUCUUUUGUUUCUUAUCAAUUUUUCAAAAAGUAGCUGUAGGGAAAUUAAUUCUGAUUUGGUAAAUAAAUUUCACAUUAUUUAUACCCUUUAUAAUGGUGAUUUUACAUGUUAGUAGUUUUGAGUUUGUUAAUUUAUAGUUACAUGAAAGCAAUCUAAUACUAUGGUCAUAUACGUAAUAGCAUGACCUAAUUAAUGUGGGCCUAAUUGUAUUAACUAUUUGUUCAUUUUCGUGUUUUUUAUUGGGUUUAAAAGUUGUUCUAUCAUUUUUUUAUUUGUGUCUUGUGUUAUGAGUACAUAAACAUGUGAGGCAAGUUUGUUUAUUGCCCAAUCAUUAUAUCAAUAUUUUUUUUAUUGAGCUGGAAAGUGUUGUCUCUUAUUUUAUAUUAGAAAGUGAUUGAAUGUAGUAGAAAGACCAACAAUAUUAUAUGAAUUAUUUUUGUUUAAGAUUUCAAAGUUUAUGUUUUCGUCUAUAUGUUUUUCAUUUGUUUUUGACUAGUUUAGUGUGCAAGGUCAAUAAUUUUUGUUAUAUUUAUGUUGCAACAAGGGUAUUGAAGUCAUUGUCAAUUUAUAUUUUGCUUGUAUGUAUUGGUAAUAAAUUUUGAUUUUUUUAUUUAUAUUUAACUUCGUUAAUGUUUCGGGAUCAAAACCAAUUAAAAUAAAAAAAUGGAUAAGUCCUGGAUUUAUUAUAGUAAAAUGUCACCAGAGUAUGAUGUUGGGGUUGUGAAGAAUUUAUGAAGUUUGCUUCUGAAAAUGUUGAAGGCAUUAGCAUCAUUAAAUGUUUGUCUAGUAAAUGUAUAAAUUUAUCCUUUUGUACACCUAAGGUUGCUCGUGAACAUUUAUGUUUUCAUGUGUCUUACACAACCUGGAGCGGCAUGGGGAAUAUGUCCACAAGACACCACUUCCUAAUGUAGAUGUAGAUGUUCUGUUUGAGUUUAUGGACUACAAUGAUGGAAACUCAGUAGAUAUGUUAACAAUGUUUAUAAGGAUUGUGCUGCAGAUCUUAAGGCAUUUAAAAGACCUCUAGAAUAGGUUGAUAAGCCUUUUACCCAAGAUGCAUAGAUUUCACUAAAUUAGACACUUUGGUUAGCUUGUUCAAUAUAGAGGGUAAAUGGUUUGGCAUAAGUUUUAUGAGUUAUUGGGUUUUCUAGCUAAGUUGUUGCCUGAAAGUAAUGAAAUUCUUGUGUAUGUGAACGAGGACAAAAAGACAAUGUCUGCUUUAGGCCUAAAAUAUGUAAAAAUACAUGGUUGUCCAAAUGGUUGCAUGCUCUAUAGAAAAGAGUAUGAAAGGCUAUUUGAAGGUCAUAAUUAUGGUUUAUCUAGAUUAAAAAAAUAUAGUAGUGCUGACUAAAAUAGAAAAGGGAUUAUUGCAAAAGUUUUAUGGUACUUUUUGCCCGUACCUAGGUUUAAGUAUGUGCUUCAAUCUUAACAAAUUGCCAAAUACUUGACUUAACACACAAAUGAUAAAGUUAAUAAUGGUAAGCUCCAACAUUCGGCAAACUCACCAUAAUGGAAAUUAGUAGAUAAUAAAUGGCCUACCAUUGCAUUAGAUCUUAGAAAUCUUUGCCUUGCCUUAUCAGCCGACGGAAUAAAUCCACACAGCUCUCUUAGUAAUAUAUAUAAUUGUUGGUCAGUUGUUCUUGUAUUGUAUAAUCUUCCUCUGUAAUUAUAUAUGAAAUAAAAAUUUAAUAUGUUGUCCCUACUAAUUUCUAGUCCUCAAUAAUAAGGCAAUGACAUUAAUAUAUACUUAGCACCUUUAAUAGAAUAUUUACAAAUUUUGUGAGAAGUUGGUGUAGAGGCUUAUGAUGCCUAUAGAAAUGAGUUCUUUAUUUUAUUGGAUGUGUUACUAUAGACUAUGAAUGACUUUCUAGCAUGCAAAAAUCUAGUGGAUUACACUGUUAAAGGAUAUAAUGUUUCUCUAUAUUGUGGAGUAGACACUACUAAAUAUAGACUUAAACAUAGUGGCAAAAAUGCAUAUAUCGAUCAUUGUCAUUGGCUUCCUCAUGGUCCCUAGACCAACGUAAAGCCUUUGACAACACCCACAGAGAGAGUUUGCCCUGAAACCAUUCAAUGGCGACGGCAUUUUGCGGCUGAUUGGGUCGAUUGAUAAUAAAUGGAGAAAGAACAACUCUAAAAAGCACAAAAGUUCCAACAAUGAUAAUCGCAUAUGGUGAGAAAAAAUCCAUAUUCUAUAAUUUAAAGUAUUUACUUGUGCAUCAUCAAUUAGAUGUUAUGCACAUUGAAAAGAAUGUGCGCAAGAGAAUUUAUGGAACACUACUUUACAUUCUAAUAAAGACCAAAGAUGAUCUUAUGUCAAGCAAUGAUCUUGUGGAAAUGAAAAUUAGGGAUGAAUUAGCACCAACGUUUUUUUAAAAAAGCACACAUUCUUUUCUGCAGCUUGUUGCACAUUAACUAGAGACAAAAGGACAAGGUUUUGCAAAGCUUUGAAAAGUAUUAAGGUUUCUGCUGGAUAUUCUUCAAACAUAAAAAAUCUUGUUUUAAUGAAGGACUUUAAACUUCAAGGCCUUAAAUCUCAUGACUGUCAUGUUCUUAUGCGACAACUUUUAGCUAUUGCCAUUAGGAGUGUCUUGACGUGCUAAUAAUUUCUAUACUAUUUUAAUACUUUCUUAACUUAAUUUAUGUUAAAUUAUAUUUUAUUAUAUUAAUUUUUAUCUUAAUUUUUAUGUUUUGUCAUUGUAGGAAUAUUGGGAAUAUUUAAGUGAAAGGAAGCAAAAAGAGGAAAUGGACUGGAGCUUAAUAGAAAUAAUUGUAGAUUGUGAGAGAAAAGAGGAAAGAAUAAUGCUUAAAGGAGAAAUUAUUAGGUUUAUUGGCUAUUUGUACAAGUCACGUGCAUAAUUACAUAAAGCAUUGGCAUUUGAUUCAUGUGCAUGAGCUUAGAAAGUGGGCUAGGUUUGUUUCAUUUUAAAUCUUUU
rnacentral:lncRNA from 1 species